UGGCAUGUAGCUCAGUGGUAGAGCGGCGGACUGUUAAUCCGUUGGUCGGUGGUUCGAUCCCAUCCUUGCCAGCCA
rnacentral:tRNA from 1 species